rnacentral:rRNA from 1 species
GUGGGGAAUCUUGCGCAAUGGGCGAAAGCCUGACGCAGCCAUGCCGCGUGAAUGAUGAAGGUCUUAGGAUUGUAAAAUUCUUUCACCGGGGACGAUAAUGACGGUACCCGGAGAAGAAGCUCCGGCUAACUUCGUGCCAGCAGCCGCGGUAAUACGAAGGGGGCUAGCGUUGCUCGGAAUUACUGGGCGUAAAGGGCGCGUAGGCGGACAGCUUAGUCAGAGGUGAAAGCCCAGGGCUCAACCUUGGAAUUGCCUUUGAUACUGGCUGUCUUGAGUUUGGGAGAGGUGAGUGGAACUCCGAGUGUAGAGGUAAAAUUCGUAGAUAUUCGGAAGAACACCAGUGGCGAAGGCGACUCACUGGCCCAAUACUGACGCUGAGGCGCGAAAGCGUGGGGAGCAAACAGGAUUAGAAACCCCUGUAGUCC